AACGAACGCUGGCGGCAUGCCUAACACAUGCAAGUCGAACGAGAUCUUCGGGUCUAGUGGCGCGCGGGUGAGUAACGCGUGGGAAUCUGCCCUUUGGUUCGGAAUCACAGUUGGAAACGACUGCUAAUACCGGAUGAUGACGAAAGUCCAAAGAUUUAUCGCCAGAGGAUGAGCCCGCGUAGGAUUAGCUAGUUGGUGUGUUAAAGGCGAACCAAGGCGACGAUCCUUAGCUGGUCUGAGAGGAUGAUCAGCCACACUGGGACUGAGACACGGCCCAGACUCCUACGGGAGGCAGCAGUGGGGAAUAUUGGACAAUGGGCGAAAGCCUGAUCCAGCAAUGCCGCGCGAGUGAUGAAGGCCUUAGGGUUGUAAAGCUCUUUUACCCGGGAUGAUAAUGACAGUACCGGGAGAAUAAGCUCCGGCUAACUCCGUGCCAGCCGCCGCGGUAACAC
rnacentral:rRNA from 1 species